UUGGCGAAGGUUACAGCUGAAUGCAGAAGUGACACAAACUGACUCUUCAUUCCAGCAAACUCCUUUCCAUCUUCUCUUCGUGGCGUCUCGAUUAAAAGUCCUGCUGGGGACUUGCAUCUGGCCUCAAUGUGAAAUUAAGGUAGAAAAACACAUCUACAUAUGUGUUUGCUAUUAGGAUUUAGUUUAUUCACUGGUCAUGCCUGAAGAGUGAUGUUCGUCUCUAGACGGCUAACUGCCAGGAAAUAUAAAUGAUUGUCCUAGAAGUCAAGCCUCUCUCCUAUUUACUGGAGUGAAAAUCACCUCCAGAUAUCGACGGAAUAUCAACUACAGAAAAUGCUUCACGUUAUAAGGAUGCCAGCCACCUAGAUUCAUGCGCCCUAUCUGUACAGUUGUUGUGGAUGGUUUGCCAUCUGAAAGCUCCUCAAGCUCUUAUCCAGGCCCUGUAUCUGUUUCUGAAAUGUCUCUGCUACAUGCUUUGGGUCCAGUGCAGACCUGGCUGGGACAAGAGCUAGAGAAGUGUGGCAUUGAUGCCAUGAUUUAUACUCGGUAUGUCCUCAGUCUUCUGCUGCAUGAUAGCUAUGACUACGACCUGCAGGAACAGGAGAAUGACAUCUUCCUGGGCUGGGAAAAGGGAGCUUACAAGAAAUGGGGAAGGAGCAGAAAAAACAAACACUAGAGGAAAUGAAAAAACAGGCUGCUGUCCAGUGUCUUCGCUCUGCUUCUGAUGAAAUUACAUCACUGAGUGGAAGUGAAGUUGAAGUGCACUGACUGGAGAAGGUGAGGAGAGGUGAAGGCAACAGGUUGAAGGAAGAUACCAGAGGCAGCAGAUACCAUGUAGCUCAAUGGAAAAGUGGAGAAAGGGAGAGACCGUCAAAGGAAAUGUUUAAAAAGAAAAAAUAAUCUGUAGCACAGGUCAAUGAAAGCUCUCCAGGGAGAUUUUUCAGACAACAGAAAUGAGAAAGUAUCUUUUAGUUUACAGAACUACAAAUACUCUGAUCUAUCACUACGGUAAGAAGAAACUCUACCCCACCUAUGCAGCCUGGUUGCAUUAUUGCUCCAUAUAGCUUCCCAGUCACAGUUUGCGCUUGUGCAAGCAUUUGUGUGGUUGUGUGGAGAACUUGAUUGGGAAAGUGAAUCAGUUUCCUGAGAUUAACCUGGUUGGGGUGGAGGAAAUGUUAACCCAGAGAAGUUUCCUGGUCAGAUUUGUGGCCCUGACACUUGCGCCAGCAAGAGAGGGGAAGGUAUGUGGCCAAGAAUAAUGAAGGAAGUGGAGUCGAUUUAUCUGGUUAUUCCCACCACCACCACCACCUUCAGCAGCAUUGCCAUCAUGUACUGACUUACUGUUUGUAAAGCUACUUGAGCAUUUGUUUAGUUACUAAAGGUGCUAACUAACUGGGAGUUUUCUGAACUCCCAUUUUCCCAUUACUUAGUAUCCUAACAAAGUGAUGCAAAAUACAAUUUUGUUGGUAAUUUGCUCUGCUCUUAUAGUUACAGAAUAUUGAGGUCAGCACUCUGACUACCGUAAAAGUUGAUUUAAAUAUGAAGCAAGUAUGAAGAAAUAAUUGCGAGAAGUAAAGUCUUUCUUGAGGACAUGACUAUCUUUGUGUACUCACUUUAUGAACAACAAGAAGUAGUAGUCUCAUACGUAGACCACAGGAAUAACUAUGAUCAGUUUUUAACUUUAGAAAUUACUCUCUUGAUGCAUCUUCACAUAACUGAAAAUCAAGGAGCAUCACUUAGAGCUGAAUUUGUAUCAUAUAGAGAAAUCCACUUAAAAAGGAAGGAGGUAAAUUUAUUAAUAAUUCCUGGUCUGCCUCCACUUGAAAGUUUGUAUAAUCUAAAACAGAUGAAGGAGGGAAGAAACCCUUCAACUAGAGUUUUGAAAGAAUAAGAAGAUGUGUGAUCUGAAAUGUUGAACAAGUAACUUCGUCCUUUGACUCCUGCCACCUUGUCAGGUUUUUAUUCUUCAACAUUAACCUAUAAGCUACAACCUAUAGACUUGUGUUAUUUCAGGGCUAUUUUGACUUCUCUUGCAUGCCUAGACAAUUCAGUUUGUACAUUUGUUGUCUUUAACAAAAUUGUAGGUUGUAAUUUUUUUUAAUGUAUUUUCAAACACAGGGUGGAACCUUCAAACCUUUUAAAAAAAAAAGGCAUUACUUAAAGCUGUUCUGUAGGUAGUUUGAUACUGUAUGGCAUAAGAGAAAAACAUAGGUUUAGGUUUUGUGGGGGUUGGGGAUUUUAUGUUGGUUUUUUUUUUUUUUUUUUUUUUUUCCCCUCUGGACUUGGGGGGAACGGUGAUCCUUCCUUGAUGUUAGUGAUAUUUUAAAGUAACUUGUUAAGUUUUCUUUUCUUUCUGCUUUUCAAACGCAUUUCCUGUGUUGGCUGGUUUCUGUACUUAGAUUUGUGUGCUAACCUGAUGGGAGUAAUCUGUAGGUUUUGGACUGUGAAACAUAAUGUUACAAUACACCCGCUGAGGUGUUCAAGCUGCCCCAUGGAAUGUUCAUGAUUUCAUCGCUACAAAAAGAUAAAAAUACUCUGUUAACUGUGGCCAAAAUUGAUGAUUAGUGGUGUGUGAGUGAGGAGAAUUUCUAAAAACCAUUGAGAUACAAAUAAUACUUUUUUCCCAAUGGCACUUGAAUUUUUUUAAAUUGUUUUCUGAAUCAUCUGAAUAUGUUUACCAUAGAGAUUUUUUUUGUUGUUGAAUAGUAGAAGUCGGAUACAUUCAUUGGGAUCUUCAUAAAUGCGUCAGCUAGCAGCUUUGUUCUCACAGGUUUUUCUUCUUGCGAGGGUCCUGACAAUAGUCCACGUGGGCAGUUCUGGAGCUUGCUUACAGUUUUGCUAUUUUUCUGUGAUCCUUUCUUCAAAGUAAGGAACACUAGUAUCCUCACACAGGUUUGGAACACUUGCUCUUGCACCCAGCCUUCUCUUUCAACCUUAGCAUUGAAGCAAAGCAAGCAAGGUUGAGGUAGCUCCAUUACUGGGAGUAAUUGAAAGAAGUCUUAGUGUAUAUAAACUUAAAUGUAUUUAAAUAGAGUUGUAUUUAGGUGAAAUUAUUAGAAUGUUUACCCUGUGUGUAUCCAUAGAGAGAGUAUAUAUACACGCAUGGUAUGUGUACAUACACAAACAAAAAAAAAAAAAAGCCCAACAAAUAGGAAGAGAAAUGAAAAUGUUAGGACUCUGCAGCCUGAUCUAUUUUAGGGGGGAAAAGCAUGCAGAGGAUGAAAGGGUAUUGAGGGUUAAUAAUAACUUUUCUAACUCUCGUAGGAAAUGACAGAGAUCCAGGUACCAUCAUUUUGGUAUUUAUAUUUAAUUACAUAAACCAAUAACAUGUUGAGAAAUUGGAGACAGUGUACCUCCUCCCCCCUACCAGUAAUCAAAGGCCCUAGAAUUGGGUGAUCACUUCAAAAAGAUGCUUGAUGGGGAGAGGAAGUCAUAAAAUAGAUUAGAUGAAGAUUGACUUGAUAACAGUAAACACUGGUUUGUCAGUCUUUCAUCUAAUGGUUGAAAUAAAUAUUUCAAAAUCUUUUCUUUUGUGGAUUUUCAUUUCCACAGUAUUCAUUCUUGGGGAGUUCUUUCUCUGGUAGCUAAGCUUUGUUUGAAUUCAGGUUUUUUGUUUCUUGUUAAAAAGAGUAAUGCUUUAAAACACUGAUCUGAGACAGAAAUCCAAGACUAGUUACAAUUUUAUGGUUCAGAAAACAAACACUUGACUUCAAAAAGCCUACAAUUUGGUGUUUAUUUCUAAAACAUUUCCUAAGUUAUGGAGUAUGACAAAGUCAGGGAGGCUGCAGUCUUUUGACUGGUUGGUCUGCAUCACUGUGUCUUGCAGUGGCAAAACUUGCAGAGGCCUGAUUUUACAGAUACUAGCUGGUAUAUGUAAGAAUGCAAAUUGUUAAUAUAUGUGGGUUCUGAGGACGGUAUUUUUUGUGUGACAAGCGUUUUGGUGUCUCAAGUUGUCAGUAUUCCUAUGAAUCUUUGGCUGCAGAUGGUCUUGAUGCAGUCAGAAGCAGAGAAAAUGCAAGUGCAUUGCGACUUGCCAGACAAUGAAGACAGAAUGAUGGUGAGAACUUUUAAGACAAGUACUUUAAUGUAGUAAUCAAUUGUUAUUCUUGCUGCAGUUCUAAAGUUUAUUUUUUCCAAAACACUUGAAUGGAGUAUAAAUAGCAGUUCAAAGAUGUGCUGAAGGAUUGUUCAAAUUUUAAGAAGCUUAUUAAUAUUGACUGUGAAUAGACACUUUCUCUUAAUUCAUAUCCUACUGAAGAAAUUUUAAAAUUUUGGUUUGUAAUUAACUAGCAAAGUAAGGGUAUUGAGUCUAAUGAAAGUUGGGUAAAAAAACCCCAACUGUUUAGGCUGGGGAGUAUUUACAUAAAAGUCCUUUGACGAAAAUAAGAAAUUUUGUCCUGAAAUUACUGCCUCAAAUUUUAAGUAACACCAGCUGUUUCUGUCAGCAAUAAAUGACUUUUUUUUGGUCAGUGGUUUUGGGUUUUUUUUUAUUGUUGUUAUUUUAAUUCCUGUCUGGUACACCUAAAACUAAGAAGGUCACUUUGUUCAUGUAUAGUUUCUGAGAUGCUUUUUCUUUU